rnacentral:rRNA from 1 species
UAGCAUGAAGUCAGACAAGUAA